CGCCUAACACAUGCAAGUCGAACGAAGUAGCAAUACUUAGUGGCAGACGGGUGAGUAACAUGUAGGUAUCUACCCUUUGGCCUGGAAUAACACGAGGAAACUUGUGCUAAUACCGGAUAAGUCUUUACGGAGAAAGCUUUAUGCACCAUUGGAUGAGCCUGCACUUGAUUAGUUUGUUGGUGGGGUAAUGGCCUACCAAGACUGUGAUCAAUAGCUGAUUUGAGAGGAUGAUCAGCCACAUUGGGACUGAGACACGGCCCAAACUCCUACGGGAGGCAGCAGUGGGGAAUCUUGCACAAUGGAGGAAACUCUGAUGCAGCGAUGCCGCGUGAGUGAAGAAGGCCUUUGGGUUGUAAAGCUCUUUCGUCGGGGAAGAAAAUGACUGUACCCGAAUAAGAAGGUCCGGCUAACUUCGUGCCAGCAGCCGCGGUAAUACGAAGGGACCUAGCGUAGUUCGGAAUUACUGGGCUUAAAGAGUUCGUAGGUGGUUGAAAAAGUUGGUGGUGAAAUCCCAGAGCUUAACUCUGGAACUGCCAUCAAAACUUUUCAGCUAGAGUAUGAUAGAGGAAAGCAGAAUUUCUAGUGUAGAGGUGAAAUUCGUAGAUAUUAGAAAGAAUACCAAUUGCGAAGGCAGCUUUCUGGAUCAUUACUGACACUGAGGAACGAAAGCAUGGGUAGCGAAGAGGAUUAGAUACCCUCGUAGUCCAUGCCGUAAACGAUGUGUGUUAGACGUUGGAAAUUUAUUUUCAGUGUCGCAGCGAAAGCGAUAAACACACCGCCUGGGGAGUACGACCG
rnacentral:rRNA from 1 species